rnacentral:sRNA from 1 species
AUUUCAUAGGGUAGCCAAAGUCCGUAUGAUUCUUUGGCUUUGUAUCUUCUAACAAGGAAACAUUACUUAGGCUUAUAAGAUCGGGUUGCGGUUUAAGUUCUUAUACACAAUCAUACACAUGACAUCAAGUCGUAUUCGACUCCAAAACACUAACCAACCUUCUUCUUGCGUCUCAAAGAUUUCAUGUUGUAGCCAAAGUCUGUAUGAGUCUUUGGCUUUGUGUCUUCUAACAAGGAUCCAAUUCUUACGCCUUUAAGAUCCAGUUGCGGUUUAAGUUCUUAUACUCAAUCAUACACAUGACAUCAAGUCAUAUUCGACUCCAAAACACUAAAAAAUCUUCU